rnacentral:rRNA from 1 species
GAAGAUGCAGUGUACCCGCGGCAAGACGGAAAGACCCCGUGAACCUUUACUAUAGCUUGACACUGAACAUUGAGCCUUGAUGUGUAGGAUAGGUGGGAGGCUUUGAAGUGUGGACGCCAGUCUGCAUGGAGCCGACCUUGAAAUACCACCCUUUAAUGUUUGAUGUUCUAACGUUGGCCCCUAAUCGGGGUUGCGGACAGUGUCUGGUGGGUAGUUUGACUGGGGCGGUCUCCUCCUAAAGAGUAACGGAGGAGCACGAAGGUUGGCUAAUCCUGGUCGGACAUCAGGAGGUUAGUGCAAUGGCAUAAGCCAGCUUGACUGCGAGCGUGACGGCGCGAGCAGGUGCGAAAGCAGGUCAUAGUGAUCCGGUGGUUCUGAAUGGAAGGGCCAUCGCUCAACGGAUAAAAGGUACUCCGGGGAUAACAGGCUGAUACCGCCCAAGAGUUCAUAUCGACGGCGGUGUUUGGCACCUCGAUGUCGGCUCAUCACAUCCUGGGGCUGAAGUAGGUCCCAAGGGUAUGGCUGUUCGCCAUUUAAAGUGGUACGCGAGCUGGGUUUAGAACGUCGUGAGACAGUUCGGUCCCUAUCUGCCGUGGGCGCUGGAGAACUGAGGGGGGCUGCUCCUAGUACGAGAGGACCGGAGUGGACGCAUCACUGGUGUUCGGGUUGUCAUGCCAAUGGCACUGCCCGGUAGCUAAAUGCGGAAGAGAUAAGUGCUGAAAGCAUCUAAGCACGAAACUUGCCCCG